UACGUAGGGAGCAAGCGUUGUCCGGAAUCAUUGGGCGUAAAGCGCGCGUAGGUGGCUUCGUAAGUCCGUUGUGAAAGUCAAAGGCUCAACCUUUGAAAGCCGAUGGAUACUGCUGAGCUAGAGUACGGAAGAGGCGAGUGGAAUUCCUGGUGUAGCGGUGAAAUGCGCAGAUAUCAGGAAGAACACCCGUGGCUAAGGCGGCUCUCUAGUACGGUACUGACGCUGAGACGCGAAAGCGUGGGGAGCAAACAGG
rnacentral:rRNA from 1 species